rnacentral:lncRNA from 1 species
UUCUAAAAAAGUGAAAUAAUGAAAGGUAGACUGAGAGGCCACAUAGUCCCAGAAAAAUGGAAGAAAGCAUAUCACUUUGAGUAAGGAGAGAAUAUUUUUGCAGUGAGCUGUGAUUGUGCCACUGUACUGCAGCCUGGGUGACAGAGUGGAGACCCUGUUUCAAAAAAAAAAAAAAAAGACCAAAUAACGACCUUCUGGCUUUUUUUCCUUUUAAAAAAUUUGCAGGCAAAUGGAGUUGAGCACUUGUGAAAAUGGAUCUUUAAAUAUGGAAAUAAAUGGUGAGGAAGAAAUCCUAAUGAAAAAUAAGAAUUCCUUAUAUUUGAAAUCUGCAGAGAUAGACUGCAGCAUAUCAAGUGA